rnacentral:rRNA from 1 species
AUACGGGGGGCGCAAGCGUUAUUCGGAAUUAUUGGGCGUAAAGGGCGCGCAGGCGGUCUUGUCCGUCAGGUGUGAAAGCUCGGGGCUCAACCCCGGAAGUGCACUUGAAACAGCAAGACUUGAAUACGGGAGAGGAAAGCGGAAUUCCUGGUGUAGAGGUGAAAUUCGUAGAUAUCAGGAGGGAACACCGAUGGCGAAGGCAGCUUUCUGGACCGAUAUUGACGCUGAGGCGCGAAGGCGUGGGUAGC